AUAAAUAUUAUAUCAUUAUUAUUUGUAAUCAGUUUUUUAUUUAUGAUUUCCAAUUGGGUAAUAUCCCAUCAUACUACUAGGCAUUGGCCAGGUACUGGACUUUGGCUGGUUGUCAAUAUAAGCUUUGUGUUCUCCUUUGUUUUUACCUCAUUUAUAAAGUCCGUGAUUGAGCAUGCAUUUGAUUUCUAUGCCAACAUAGAUCUUAUUGCUCAUCAAAGGUAUCUAAAAGUUGUGUGCUCUGCAACAGAUAGGUUGUGUUAGUCAAUAGAAAUACCUAAUAUGUCAGUUUUGUUGCCAAAUAUUUUAAACACACAUAUAUAUACAGAGUUAUAGAACAGAAGAUGAUCUGGUGGUUACCUUUCUGUUAUUUACUCGAAUGACUGUACGUAUAUCUUACCUUCAGACUUUAUCCGCUCUUGGUUAGUUUUCCAUCUCCAAUCAGAUUAAUGGUUUGCAUGCAGACCAAGCCCAGUGUUUUAUGGUGUUCUUAUUCCUGAUUUAGUUGUACAUUUGACUUUUAGUUUGUUCAUAGAUAAUAAAGUAGUGGCAGAUGAACCAGUAAGUUAUCUGUGCCCAUGCUUUGCUGUAAGCAUUAAAUUUUCUCUCUGCUUUUGCUUUCGAUGUGUUAUCCGUACCCCUACUUUUUGUGGCUAAUUAUUAUGUCCUAUCAACAUAUGUAGAGUCCAUGGUAUCAUACGAUUUGAAGUUGAAAAAUUCAUGCUAUGGGUGAUAUGGAAAAGUCAUUGCCUUCUUUGCUGGAACAUUUCCUAAGAUGAUCUAAGGAAAUUAUUUUAGUCACCAUGUCAUUUAUAUGCUAAAUUCAGUGCGUUGACAACUGGAGAUCGCUUCCUUUUUUGUGUAUUGAUCAUUUCAGUACGAUUGUUUGAUACACUGCCGACAUCAUUUUUCUUCUUCUUGCUUGUUAUUUCAUUUAUUUCCUCCGGCAAGUGGAUGGCUAUUUCCACUGCUUCAGGUUUUGUUUUGGCUCUAAUUGUGUGUAUGGCAUCUUGGCCUUCUUAGGUGAAGCAGCUAUGAAUAUCCUCGCUGAUCUAUGGAUCUAUCAUUGUAAGAGUCGAUGAUAUAUGGUGAGAUGCCUCACACCAUCAUUUGGUCUUUGUAGCAUUUGAGUUGGCAAAUUUGUUGGAUUCAUGCGAUUAGGCAUGCCAUGUAAAUCAAUCUGCUAUGGGAAAUGGGAGUUUGCAAACUACCGGAGUCUAAUUGCUGAGGGACGAGGUUCGUAACUGAGGGUCAUGUGCAGAGCUGGAAGAAGAAGUUGCGAGGCUUGGAACUCUCCUUGUGAAGGGCUCAGGGACAGCAGUGAGGACAAUGCCUCUUUAGUUGUAAUUGUGAUACUCCUGAUGUGCAAGUAAUCACUCAUGUGAUACUCCUUAUGCUAAAAUGUUGGUUGUUAGUACAGAGGUGGUGACAUUAUUUGGUUCUCUGGUAUUGAUUUCAUGAUUUGUGGUUAAUACAUGAUGUAAUACAAUCCACAUUGCAUUAUAUUUCCAGUUACAUCUCCUACUUACUCA